UUCAAAUUCUCACUUUUAGUGCUCUGUGAAAAACUUGGUUCACAGUGCACUUUUAUUGAAGGAAUUUGUUCACAGGCACUAUGAAGACUAUUUUAAUAUUUCUGACAUUAGUUUUGAUAAUUUCAAUGGUGUCGGGUGACUGGAUCGCGGAUCUCAAAUUCAAGGCUACUGAAGUGCAAGCAACAUGCGGAAGGAUUACCCAAAACUUAGGAUCAUUAAGGGAAAUAAUUAAUUUCCAAAAUCGCAACAAAGCCAAACUAGAUUUAAGCUGUUAUUGAAUCUGGACAUCAGGACAACAACAAGUCAAGUAUGACUACAAAUAAAUGAAUGUAAUUAAGCGUA